GCAAACUUGGUCAUUUAGAGGAAGUAAAAGUCGUAACAAGGUCUCCGUUGGUGAACCAGCGGAGGGAUCAUUAAAGGAGCUUUAAACACUCCCAAACCCUUUGUUAUUCAUACCUAUUUGUUGCUUCGGCAGGCAGCCCCAGGGCGGGGCUGUAGCCUGUUUAGGUGCCUGCCGAAGAUAUUAAACUCGUCAUUUUUUAGUGUCUGAGUCUCUAUACAAAUAAAAUAAAAACUUUCAACAACGGAUCUCUUGGUUCUGGCAUCGAUGAAGAACGCAGC
rnacentral:misc_RNA from 1 species